rnacentral:rRNA from 1 species
UGGGGAAUUUUGGACAAUGGGCGCAAGCCUGAUCCAGCCAUGCCGCGUGCGGGAAGAAGGCCUUCGGGUUGUAAACCGCUUUUGUCAGGGAAGAAAUCUUCUGAGUUAAUACCUCGGGAGGAUGACGGUACCUGAAGAAUAAGCACCGGCUAACUACGUGCCAGCAGCCGCGGUAAUACGUAGGGUGCAAGCGUUAAUCGGAAUUACUGGGCGUAAAGCGUGCGCAGGCGGUUUUGUAAGACAGAGGUGAAAUCCCCGGGCUCAACCUGGGAACUGCCUUUGUGACUGCAAGGCUUGAGUGCGACAGAGGGGGAUGGAAUUCCGCGUGUAGCAGUGAAAUGCGUAGAUAUGCGGAGGAACACCGAUGGCGAAGGCAAUCCCCUGGGCCUGCACUGACGCUCAUGCACGAAAGCGUGGGGAGCAAACAGGAUUAGAUACCCUGGUAGUCCACGCCCUAAACGAUGUCAACUGGUUGUUGGGAAGGUUCCUUCUCAGUAACGUAGCUAACGCGUGAAGUUGACCGCCUGGGGAGUACGGCCGCAAGGUUGAAACUUAAAGGAAUUGACGGGGU